AGAAUAUCAUGAAAUUUGGUAGCUUAACCAUACUGCCCUGUUUUGCCUCUGGUAGAGAAUUUGUCUCCAGAAAACUGCUCUCUUUGAUCAGCUGGGAUCGAAGAUGGCCAUUUCUGGACAAAGUCAUUUAAUGCACCUGCUAUCUGAAAAAUGUCAUGCAAACAGAAUCUUAUCUGUUGUUUUGAAACAACUAUUGUAAGGCUUAAAGAUUUCAUCAGCAGAACAGACCUUUAGUGCACAACUUUCUACCUUAUGGUCUACAUCCAGCAUAACAAAAGGAAAGUGAAGUCAAUGGUCUCAGCUCGGUGCACAUAAGUGCUGGACAAACAGCAACUUAUUCCAGUACAGAAAGGAGAAGAAUGUUCCUCUGUUGCCCUUUUUAUUAUCCUCGUUACGAAUUUUCAUUGCCGAAAGAUUCAUUCCUUUUACUGACAUUUCCGUGGCUACUCAUCUCUAAAAAGAUGCGACUUAAGGCCAGGAAGGCACUGUUUCUCUGCAUGCCUCAGACUUUGAAUGUAGGUGUUGGUUCUUCCCAUUUUGCACGGAUCUUAUUCUGCAAGUCCUUGCCACUUAAUUGGACUUUACUCCCCAUCUUGAUUUGUGUAUGAAGAAUUUGUUCUCUGAAUUUAAAUAUUUUUCCUGAGCUCAUCUCUUUG
ensembl:lncRNA